GUCAGACCCUCCUUACCCUGGACAGACGCCACCGAGACGGGUCAUCUCCAGCUCCAUCCUCAGCUGGGGUCACCUCCCUAGCAUGCGUGUGACCCUCUUCCUUGCUUCGGUCCUCGUGGGCAGCUCCCCAGCACGCUGAUUCUCUGCUCAGGAAUCCCUUCUUUCUGGAAAGCAUUCUCCUCUCCACCC
rnacentral:lncRNA from 1 species